UACGUAGGGUGCAAGCGUUGUCCGGAAUUAUUGGGCGUAAAGAGCGCGUAGGCGGUUUGUCGCGUCUGCUGUGAAAACUGGAGGCUCAACCUGCAGCCUGCAGUGGGUACGGGCAGACUAGAGUGCGGUAGGGGAGAUUGGAAUUCCUGGUGUAGCGGUGGAAUGCGCAGAUAUCAGGAAGAACACCUAUAGCGAAGGCAGCUUGCUGGGACGACACUGACGCUGAGGCGCGAAAGCGUGGGGAGCGAACAGG
rnacentral:rRNA from 1 species